AGAAGAUAGCCGAGCUUUGCGAGCAGCGAGCCGCCCAUGGCCGCCCGCAGAUAGGCGGCGAUCUGCUUGGCGGUUCCUUCCGCCGUCUUCAGC
rnacentral:tRNA from 1 species